rnacentral:rRNA from 1 species
GACCUACGGGGGGCAGCAGUGGGGAAUAUUGCACAAUGGGGGAAACCCUGAUGCAGUGACGCCGCGUGAGUGAAGAAGUAUCUCGGUACGUAAAGCUCUAUCAGCAGGGAAGAAAAUGACGGUACCUGACUAAGAAGCCCCGGCUAACUACGUGCCAGCAGCCGCGGUAAUACAUAGGGGGCAAGCGUUAUCCGGAAUUAUUGGGUGUAAAGGGUGCGUAGACGGAAGAACAAGUUGGUUGUGAAAUCCCUCGGCUCAACUGAGGAACUGCAACCAAAACUAUUCUCCUUGAGUGUCGGAGAGGA